rnacentral:lncRNA from 1 species
CUGUAAUACUGGAGCGUUAAUGUUGUGAUAGAAUAGCACAAAGAACCAACAUUUGUUUAGAGAAGUAUUAUUAUUAUUAUUAUUAUUUUUAUUAUUAUUAUUCUUAUUAUUAUUAUUAUUUUAGGCUAUCUCCAUUCGAGGGUGCUAGAAGCUAGGGCCCUGGAAUGGGUAUUACACCAGGAGCGGGUCUAUGACCAAGUCUCCUGGUGUUGUUUUGUUCAGAAUGCGGGGAGGCUAUUAGUUGGUGACUUAUUGUCACCAUAUUCCCUCCCGUGGCCACCCCCCCCCCCCCCCCCUAUGUGGUCCUAUCGUGUAUCCGAUAGGAAACACAUUUGGGGGUUUGGAACAUGUUCCAAGGGCCACUUUUUCGCAUUCUGAACUUUCGCGGUUGUUGUUCAUGGAGAUGUGUUGUGGCUCCACUACUUCCUGGGACGUUACUGACACAUCUAACCAUCCAGGUAACAACCACUUUACCCAUUAGUCGCCUUAUACGACAGGCAGGGUACACGGCCUUGGGAGUAUUCUUUCCCCCUACCCACAGGG